CUUUUAGUAGGAAUUACUUUCUUUGGCUUUUUUGAAGUUUCAUUAGGCUAAAAUGCUGAAACUUCAAUCUGUAGAAGAGGAAGGUUAAAGAGACACUGAGCAGCAAUCUGGUUUGUUCCUCUGUCCUGAGGCAGAGCUGUUCUUAUCGUUCCCAGCAGAUCCUGGGAUGGAGCACUUGUCUUCCCUGCAGCAGCCACCACCUGCAGACUUUGCGUCUCCUUGAAGGGUUUGUUCCUAAUGCUGACCAUAAAUCUUGCUCCAUUCCCAGGUCGUUUGCUUGCUCUCUCCAUUCAUCACCUUCUCAGUAGAAGGAGAGAUGCUGACCCAGCGUGCUCCUCCAUGCGAGGUCUGGGUCAGAAAGUGCAAACACAGGACUGCUUUGAGGUCAGAAAACAAAACAAAAAGGUAUGUUGUCUUUGUCUGUUUUCAUCUUCCCAUAUCAGAAAAAGGAGAUUUCUGGGAGUAGCUGAUCUGGCCCAUUAUCUGCUGCUGCAGAAGGCUCUGGUCCUGCCCUUACAGCUUCUUGUCCAGGCUUUCCAUAGGUCCCUCUGCUGAAGCCAUGGCGGCUUCAUUUCCCAUAAGAUCUCUGGGGGGAUGAGAACUGGAACUUUGAGUGAAACACACCUGAAUUCAAUGAUGGUGGCUGAGGCAGUUUUGUCAUUCCUCUUUUCAUUUUAAAACCAAACAAACAGAAAGCCUGACCAACUCCCGAUGUUUAUUUCCAAGUGUGAAAUUUAAGGAAAAUUAAAGAUAAAACAGAAAUUGCCCAAUUUCUUUAUCAUUUCAUUUUGAGCACUUAACUCUUUUUUUUUUUUUUCCCUUCUCUUCAAAGGAGAACUGAAAAAGCUUUUUUUGUCAAAUUGUUGUGGAUUGCUGGAAGGAUUUAAAUUCCAUUCCUACAAAGAGGCUCUGGCAGGCUGCCUGUAUGCUGAUGAGCAGUUCUAAAAUAUUUGUGCUUUGGAUUUGGCUCAUUAAGCUGAUCUAAAUGGGGAUGCUUUUCCCAGCCCUUGAAGUUGAAAAAUGGAGGGAUGUAUUCUGAAUGUGGCAUAGGGAUGUUUUUCUACAUCUCUCUUUUUCAGGUAUUUCCUUUUUUUUUUUUUUCUUUUUUCCCUCCAGAGGUCUUGGCAGGCUGAAACUACAAGUUCUGUGAUAAUAAGAAUGACUAAUUUGAAUAAUGUGUGCAAACCAAUAACCUUUUUCAUUAUUUGCAAGGCUAUUCUGCACCAGCAACCAAUGUGGCUUUAAUGACUUGCCUGCUUAUGGCGCUGGUAUAUCAGUCAAGAGCAUUUUGAAUGUGUCCUAUCAGAGCUUCUCGAAAUGUUAUGGAGAGACAUGUGGACAGAGAUACAGAUAUAUGGAUUUUUUUUUGCUUCCUUCCUAGUAGAAAACAACUUUUCCCCAAUCAGUGUGCAUUGAACAUAAGUGUGCUCCAGGGAUGUUUUUCCCAGUGCUGGAUUAGGUGCUGUCAAUAACUCCAGUUGGUUGUGACAUUUUAAGAAUGCUGGAUCAUUUAUUUCUUUUCUCUUUAAUUAAAGUCAGCACAGCAAACAGUGGA
ensembl:lncRNA